rnacentral:lncRNA from 1 species
ACUGUUCAAAAUAAAAAGUUCAUUCUUUCUGCUGCUCAGUGGUGGUGGCCUCACCGUCGCCCUUGUCUCCUGCCUCGCCCUGUGUGGUCUCGCCACCUUUCUUGGCCAACGCUUCCUUCUCUGAAAGGAUCUUCGCCUCAAGAUCCUUCCUCGCCUUCUCAAUGGCGGUAGCAUUAGCCUCUUUGAAGCCCACCAUGAAAGCAGGAGUAGAAGGGGCGAAGAACGUCGUCCAGUCGUAGUCAGGGUCCGCAGCCAAGAAAUUGGUAAGAUAUUCCGAGAACCCAAGGCGGUAUGCGUCGCUCAGCUCCUUGGAUUUGGAGGCUUUCUCGCCCUCAAGCUCAGACUGGAGACCUGCGAUGGUAGAGUUGGCGAGGUUGGCGGCUGAAGUUGAGGACUCAGUGAGUUCAUUGAGGGUAUCCUGAACAUUCCUGAUCUGGGCAUCCCUUGUCUUGAUAUCAUCUUUGUAUUUCUUCUGGAGGUCUUUCAGACGAUCCGCGGACGUUGUUGCCUCGCUCUUUAGCUUCGUGUUCGCCUUUUCCAGCUCUGCUAUGUGAGCAUUUUUGGCGGCAAGGACGUUGAGGCCCUGAAAAAACGCCUCGCCCAAUCCUAACUUGAAGCCAUGUUCAGCUUCAUCAGCUUUCUUUGACGACCAGACUUUGACGUCCACAGCAUCAUAGUUGUCUUCGGCCAAAACACUGAAGGCGACAGACACAACAGAGGGGGUCGACUCCUCGCCCUUUCUUGGUUUCUUUUUUGAGGCUGCAACUUCCUCUUCGUUCCCCCGUUUUUGCUUGUUCCUCGCCCUCAAUUCUUUCUCCGGUGGAGGGGUCUGGUUCCGGCGAGGAGUAGGAGUGGCAUUCUUAGAGAUGGUGGGGCGAGGCUGAGAAACGGGGACUUGCCUGCCAGCAAAAGGGUUAUUACCAAAAGGGAGUUCGGCCAUCUUUCCUGAAAAGAAACCAAGUGUAAACAUUAGGCAACGAAUAUAUGAUUGGCAAGGAACAUGUAUGAAAAAAAAAAAGUAAAGCGUGGAAAAGAUAAAGGGCGAGACGCAAGCAGACAAAGGGCGACGCUUCUACCUUUACCAGUCAAGGAUGCUAAUGACCUUUUAAGGCACUCUAGAGCUUUCUUCGACCUAUUCCUCUUGUCGAACUUUAUCAGAGGGACUUGGCCAAAACCCUUGUUAUAAAAGCCAUAUUCGCGAAGCGAUUCCGGAGUAACAAUCUCGUCGAGCUUCUUCUGGGCGGCAUCAAGAUUGUCAACAGCCUGGGCACGAGUCAAGAGCUCGCCCUCGAGGUCGGUUUGUUGAGGUUUAUCUAAUAAGGAGUUAAAGUUAAGUACAGAUGAUAGGCGAGAAGGUGAGAAGAAGGCGAUGAAGAUUAUACUUACAAGGGUCAAGAUUAAAAGACACCCUUUGGCGAGGAAUGUCGUAGAGGUAGAAGUAAUCCGGCUUCCAGAAUUUCAUGUUGCUAGGAUUUCCAACGGAGAAGCCUUUCUUGUGAUGGCAAAGACGAUGAAGCAAGAUAAAUUAAAAGCACGGGACUACAACAGCAAAAGAGUUAGAAUUCAAAUACAACUGACAAGGCCAAUUACAGAGAGCUCGCACUCCAAAUGUAUUUAGGACUUUUCAAAAUAAAAAGUUCAUUCUUUCUGAUGCUCAGUGGUGAUGGCCUCGAGAUUAUACUUACAAGGGUCAAGAUUAAAAGACACCCUUUGGCGAGGACCAUCUUUGUAUUUCUUCUGGAGGUCUUUCAGACGAUCCGCGGACGUUGUUGCCUCGCUCUUUAGCUUCGUGUUCGGACGGUAGCAUUAGCCUCUUUGAAGCCCACCAUGAAAGCAGGAGUAGAAGGGGCGAAGAACGUCGUCCAGUCGUAGUCAGGGUCCGCAGCCAAGAAAUUGAUAAGAUAUUCCGAGAACCCAAGGCGGUAUGCGUCGCUCAGCUCCUUGGAUUUGGAGGCUUUCUCGCCCUCAAGCUCAGACUGGAGACCUGCGAUGGUAGAGUUGGCGAGGUUGGCGGCUGAAGUUGAGGACUCAGUGAGUUCAUUGAGGGUAUCCUGAACAUUCCUGAUCUGGGCAUCCCUUGUCUUGAUAUCAUCUUUGUAUUUCUUCUGGAGGUCUUUCAGACGAUCCGCGGACGUUGUUGCCUCGCUCUUUAGCUUCGUGUUCGCCUUUUCCAGCUCUGCUAUGUGAGCAUUUUUGGCGGCAAGGACGUUGAGGCCCUGAAAAAAUGCCUCGUCCAAUCCUAACUUGAAGCCGUGUUCAGCUUCAUCAGCUUUCUUUGACGACCAGACUUUGACGUCCACAGCAUCAUAGUUGUCUUCGGCCAAAACACUGAAGGCGACAGACACAACAGAGGGGGUCGACUCCUCGCCCUUUCUUGGUUUCUUUUUUGAGGCUGCAACUUCCUCUUCGUUCCCCCGUUUUUGCUUGUUCCUCGCCCUCAAUUCUUUCUCCGGUGGAGGGG